ACGAAGGGGGCUAGCGUUGUUCGGAAUAACUGGGCGUAAAGGGCGCGUAGGCGGUGAGAUACGUCUGGUGUGAAAGUCCUGGGCUCAACCUGGGGAUUGCACUGGAUACGGUUUUACUUGAGUGUAAGAGAGGAAGAUGGAAUUGUGCGUGUAGAGGUGAAAUUCGUAGAUAUGCACAAGAACACCGGAUGCGAAGGCGAUCUUCUGGCUUACAACUGACGCUGAGGCGCGAAAGCGUGGGGAGCAAACAGG
rnacentral:rRNA from 1 species